AGUACCUUUUAAAGAUUGUCCAGAGAGGCAGCAAAGGGAAAGACAAGGAAUCGGCACAUAAUUUUAUGAUGCUGUAGCUUGUCACACCCUAAAUUGCCUCACUCAUAAAAGGAGUGAGGCUUUUUCAUU
rfam:Lysinibacillus odysseyi 34hs-1 = NBRC 100172 contig17, whole genome shotgun sequence.